rnacentral:rRNA from 1 species
UACGUAGGGUGCAAGCGUUGUCCGGAAUUAUUGGGCGUGAAGAGCUCGUAGGUGGUCUGUUGCGUCGGCUGUGAAAACCCGAGGCUCAACCUCGGGCCUGCAGCCGAUACGGGCAGACUAGAGUUCGGCAGGGGAGACUGGAAUUCCUGGUGUAGCGGUGAAAUGCGCAGAUAUCAGGAGGAACACCGGUGGCGAAGGCGGGUCUCUGGGCAGUGACUGACGCUGAGGAGCGAAAGCGUGGGGAGCGAACAGG